AUCCUCUCCUCUUUUCCCACCUUCCAGGCCUCCUCCCGGAUCUCCCUUGCUCGCUCGCCUUCCCUCGCGUCGAACCCUAACCCGGAGACCGCAGCGACUCGCCGCGGGCCUUGACUCGGCGCAUCGGCGGCCACCAGCAUCUGCGGAGGCGACCUCCCUGCGGUCCUGCGGCGUGCGGGGCAACGGAUUGGAUCCGCGGCGUGCCCAGCCGACCCUAUUGCGUUUAGUUGGUCUUACAAGCUUGGAAACAUGUUCAAGAAUACAUUUCAGUCUGGGUUCCUUUCCAUUCUUUAUAGCCUCGGGACCAAGCCAUUGCAGAUAUGGGACAAGGAAGUUGUGAAUGGGCACAUUAAACGACCUCAGGAUGAAGAUAUCCAGUCUAAUGUACUUGAGAUCAUUGGAACAAAUGUACAGUCAACUUACAUUACAUGCCCAGCUGAUCCUUCUGCUACCCUUGGAAUCAAGCUUCCAUUUUUGGCCAUUGUUGUGAAAAAUCUUAAGAAGUACUUCACAUUUGAGAUCCAAGUUCUGGAUGAUAAGAAUGUUCGUCGACGAUUUCGAGCAUCAAAUUUUCAAUCUGUUACUAGAGUGAAGCCAUAUAUCUGCACAAUGCCGUUGAAGCUUGAAGAUGGCUGGAACAACAUUCAGUUAAAUCUAGCUGAUUUGACAAAAAGAGCGUACGGCACAAAUUAUGUUGAGACACUCCGAGUGCAAGUUCAUGCCAAUUGCCGACUUCGCAGAAUUUACUUCUCUGAUCGCCUCUACUCAGAGGAGGAGCUGCCACCUGAGUUCAAGCUCUACCUUCCUAUUCAAAAAUCAUAGGACUUGGAGCAGCCAUGGGGAGACUUUGGUUACCAGGAGAUGUUACCGCAUAUCAUCGUGACAAUCGCUUGCGCAUAGCUAUGCAUUAGCCUUCCCUAGACCUCCAAAAGUAUUAGAAUGUGUUUCCUUGUUCGCUACCAGUUGUCUGAAUGAUUAGGCUCUUUUUUCUCAGGCGUUAUUGCAGGGCCGCGAUCGCAUUGAAAGCUUCACCUUUCUUCAGCGUCAGCCGUGCCGACUCCUGUCCUGUCAAGUCUGGCUCUGAAUGUACCCGAGCGCACUGCUUAUUGGACAUUUGCCUCUGUCUCCU